UACGGAGGGUGCGAGCGUUGUCCGGAAUCACUGGGCGUAAAGGGCGCGUAGGCGGCGCGGGGAGUCAACGGUGAAAGCUCGGCGCUCAACGCCGAGUCGGCCGUCGAUACUCCCGUGCUCGAGCACUGUAGGGGCAGGUGGAAUUCCGGGUGUAGCGGUGGAAUGCGUAGAGAUCCGGAAGAACACCGGUGGCGAAGGCGGCCUGCUGGGCAGUAGCUGACGCUGAGGCGCGACAGCGUGGGGAGCAAACAGG
rnacentral:rRNA from 1 species